rnacentral:rRNA from 1 species
GAUGAACGCUGGCGGCGUGCCUAAUACAUGCCAGUCGAGCGAACGGACGAGAAGCUUUCUUCUCUGAUGUUAGCGGCGGACGGGAGCUUCACACGUGGAUAACCUAACUCUAAGACUGGGAUACCUUUGGCAAACCAUAGCUACUACCGAAUAAUAUAUUGCCCUUGGUUGUUCCCAAGUUAAAGUCGGUCUUUCUUACGCUAAUAGACGACCCCGCCCUCGAUUAGUUAGUGGGUGAGGUAACGGCUUAGCAAGGCAACGACGCAUACCCGACCCGAGAGGGAGGUCCGCCACACUGGAACUGAGACACGGUCCCGACUCCUGGGGGGGGCCACAGUCGGGACUCUUCCGCAAGGGAGCAAAGCGUAAUAGAGGAAAGCGGCGUAAAGGAUGAUGGACUUCGGAUGGGUAAACUAUGUUAGUAGGAAAGAUGAAAUGCUCUUGUAACUGUGAUCAUCAUGACGGUACCUAAAGAAAAAGCUCCGGCUAACUACGUG